CCUACGGGAGGCAGCAGUGGGGAAUAUUGCGCAAUGGGCGAAAGCCUGACGCAGCGACGCCGCGUGAGGGAUGAAGGUCUUCGGAUCGUAAACCUCUGUCAGCAGGGAAGAACGGUCACUGUGCUAAUCAGCAGUGAAUUGACGGUACCUGCAACGGAAGCACCGGCUAACUCCGUGCCAGCAGCCGAGGUAAUACGGAGGGUGCGAGCGUUAAUCGGAAUUACUGGGCGUAAAGCGCUCGGGGGCGGUAUGUCAAGUCAAGGGUGAAAUCCCCGCGCUCAACGUGGGAACUGCCUUUGAAACUGGCAAACUGGAGUGUGUGAGAGGAUAGUGGAAUUCCAGGUGUAGGAGUGAAAGCCGUAGAUAUCUGGAGGAACAUCAGUGGCGAAGGCGACUAUCUGGCACAUAACUGACGCUGAGGAGCGAAAGCGUGGGUAGCAAACAGGAUUAGAUACCCCAGUAGUC
rnacentral:rRNA from 1 species